rnacentral:rRNA from 1 species
UACGGAGGAUGCGAGCGUUAUCCGGAUUUAUUGGGUUUAAAGGGUGCGUAGGCGGGAUGCCAAGUCAGCGGUAAAAAUGCGGUGCUCAACGCCGUCGAGCCGUUGAAACUGGCGUUCUUGAGUGGGCGAGAAGUAUGCGGAAUGCGUGGUGUAGCGGUGAAAUGCAUAGAUAUCACGCAGAACUCCGAUUGCGAAGGCAGCAUACCGGCGCCUUACUGACGCUGAGGCACGAAAGCGUGGGUAUCGAACAGG